rnacentral:rRNA from 1 species
GAUGAACGCUGGCGGCGUGCCUAAUACAUGCAAGUCGAGCGAAUGGAUUAAGAGCUUGCUCUUAUGAAGUUAGCGGCGGACGGGUGAGUAACACGUGGGUAACCUGCCCAUAAGACUGGGAUAACUCCGGGAAACCGGGGCUAAUACCGGAUAACAUUUUGAACCGCAUGGUUCGAAAUUGAAAGGCGGCUUCGGCUGUCACUUAUGGAUGGACCCGCGUCGCAUUAGCUAGUUGGUGAGGUAACGGCUCAACAAGGCAACGAUGGGUAGCCGACCUGAGAGGGUGAUCGGCCACACUGGGACUGAGACACGGCCCAGACUCCUACGGGAGGCAGCAGUAGGGAAUCUUCCGCAAUGGACGAAAGUCUGACGGAGCAACGCCGCGUGAGUGAUGAAGGCUUUCGGGUCGUAAAACUCUGUUGUUAGGGAAGAACAAGUGCUAGUUGAAUAAGCUGGCACCUUGACGGUACCUAACCAGAAAGCCACGGCUAACUACGUGCCAGCAGCCGCGGUAA